AGCAGUAGCCGCGGUAAUACGUAGGGUGCGAGCGUUAAUCGGAAUUACUGGGCGUAAAGCGUGCGCAGGCGGUUUUGUAAGACAGGCGUGAAAUCCCCGGGCUCAACCUGGGAAUGGCGCUUGUGACUGCAAAGCUAGAGUGCGGCAGAGGGGGAUGGAAUUCCGCGUGUAGCAGUGAAAUGCGUAGAUAUGCGGAGGAACACCGAUGGCGAAGGCAAUCCCCUGGGCCUGCACUGACGCUCAUGCACGAAAGCGUGGGGAGCAAACAGGAUUAGAUACCCCAGUAGUCCCUGUCUCUUAUAC
rnacentral:rRNA from 1 species